ACGCCCAAAUCACGUUAAAACACCGUUUCCCAUAUGAUCACAGAAGUUAAGCAAUGUCGAACUUAGAAAGUAUUUCGAUGGGUGACCGCUUGGGAAUAACAGGCCCUGCA